rnacentral:lncRNA from 1 species
GCUUCCUUUUUGGCCAUCCAUGAAAUUGAUCUUUAUUUGCUGGCCUGUCUUGCCAUAUUUCAGCGGUGCAGCCUAUGUGUACCAAAAUUAUGUGAUAUCUGUGUUUAUAAAGAACCAGAUAGUAAAUAUUUGAGAAAAAAGGGUCUUUCCGGUAAAUUUGAUGACUUCCUCACGGCACUUGAUAAGUUUAUUGAAGAAAAUGGACCUGAAGAUCUCAAUAAACUGACAAAGAAGAGUCAAAAGCCAUCGAACUCGAAAGAAGAUAUGAAGGCAGCGAAGGAUUCAGAAGAACAAAAUAAGCGCAAGAAAGGCUCAGAAGAACAAGGUUCACUAAAGGAUUCAGAUGAACUUGAACAAAAGAGCAACAAGAGUGUGGCAUUUGAGCCGGAGAAGGAAUUGAAGUGUGACUGCUAUCCAACCUCUGCUUAUCAGAGCACAUAUCCGAAACACAACUCAUGGAGCCUCUUUGCUGCCUCAUGAUCUUUGAGGAUGAAUAGUUACUGCAACUAGAGGUCUCUAGACAUGUAACCCCUGAACUCAACAAAUAUAUUUUUCGUUGCAGUCUUGAUCAUGUCAACUUACUUGAUCAUUGCAUUUCUUUUACGGGCCAAAGAAGAAAAAUUCAGCCCGGUGUAGAGAGCCUCUUUGAUUAGGUAGCAGUCUCCAGGAGCCAUUUCAUCAAGAAAGCAAGGAAAAUGGAACUCACCUCCUUGUCACAAGUUUGUCCUAUGUCAAUUGUUAUGACAUGUCAUCAUGUAACAUAUUUCUCCAAUAUACACCAGUAGAUGAGUAAUGUAGAAAUCUGCCAUGUUUGGUUGGUGAUG